CAGUCGCCGCGGUAACACGAAGGGGGCUAGCGUUGUUCGGAAUUACUGGGCGUAAAGGGCGCGUAGGCGGCCAUUCAAGUUAGAUGUGAAAGCCCUGGGCUCAACCUAGGAAUUGCAUUUGAUACUGUUUGGCUUGAGUUCGGGAGAGGUGAGUGGAAUUCCCAGUGUAGAGGUGAAAUUCGUAGAUAUUGGGAAGAACACCAGUGGCGAAGGCGGCUCACUGGACCGACACUGACGCUGAGGCGCGAAAGCGUGGGGAGCAAACAGGAUUAGAUACCCCAGUAGUCCCUGUCUCUUAUAC
rnacentral:rRNA from 1 species